UGUGGCCAAGUUUUUAAGGGCGCAUGGUGGAUGCCUUGGCACCAGGAACCGAUGAAGGACGUGGGAGGCCCGCGAUAGGCCCCCGGGGAGCUGUCAACCGAGCUGUGAUCCGGGGGUGUCCGAAUGGGGAAACCCGGCAGUCGUCAUGGGCUGUCACCCGCUGCUGAAUGUAUAGGCAGUGUGGAGGGAACGCGGGGAAGUGAAAACAUCUCAGUACCCGCAGGAAGAGAAAACAACAGUGAUUCCGGGAGUAGUGGCGAGCGAAACUGGAUGAUGGCUAAAACGUUUGUGUGUGAUACCCGGCAGGGGUUGCGCAGGCGGGGUUGUGGGAGUUUACGUGACUGGUCCUGCCGGCUGGUCGGCGAGUGAGAAACCGUACAUGUAGGCGAAGGGCAUGCGAAAGGCCCGGCGUAGAGGGUAAGACCCCCGUAGCUGAAAUGUGUGGCGGCUCGUUGUGAACACACCCCAAAGUAGCACGGGGCCCGAGAAAUCCCGUGUGAAUCUGGCGGGACCACC
rnacentral:rRNA from 1 species